UACGUAGGGUCCAAGCGUUGUUCGGAAUUACUGGGCGUAAAGCGCGCGUAGGCCGCUUGCUAAGUCAGACGUUAAAGCCCUGGGCUCAACCCGGGAAUCGCGUUUUGAUACUGGCGAGCUUUGAGAUUCAGAGAGGUGAGUGGAAUUCCUAGUGUAGAGGUGAAAUUCGUAGAUAUUAGGAAGAACACCAGUGGCGAAGGCGGCUCACUGGCUGAACACUGACGCUAAAAGCGCGAAAAGCGUGGGGGAGCAAACAGG
rnacentral:rRNA from 1 species